ACAAUGGAGAGUUUGAUCCUGGCUCAGGAUGAACGCUAGCGGCAGGCCUAAUACAUGCAAGUCGAACGGGAUCCAGAAGCUUGCUUUUGGUGAGAGUGGCGCACGGGUGCGUAACGCGUAUGGCAACCUACCUGCUACUGGGGGAUAGCCCGGGGAAACUCGGAUUGAAUACCCCA
rnacentral:ncRNA from 1 species